UACGGAGGAUGCGAGCGUUAUCCGGAUUUAUUGGGUUUAAAGGGUGCGCAGGUUGUUUGAUAAGUCAGUGGUGAAAGUCUGUCGCUUAACGGUAGGAUUGCCAUUGAUACUGUUGGACUUGAAUAUGGAUGAGGUAGGCGGAAUGUGUAGUGUAGCGGUGAAAUGCAUAGAUAUUACACAGAACACCGAUUGCGAAGGCAGCUUACUAAUCCAUCAUUGACGCUGAGGCACGAAAGCGUGGAGAUCAAACA
rnacentral:rRNA from 1 species